rnacentral:rRNA from 1 species
CCUACGGGGUGCAGCAGUGAGGAAUGUUGGUCACUGGGCGCGAGCCUGAACCAGCGAAGUAGCGUGAAGGAUGACUGCCCUACGGGUUGUAAGCUUCUUUUAUAAAGGAAUAAAGUGAGGCACGUGUGCCUUUUUGUAUGUACUUUAUGAAUAAGGAUCGGCUAACUCCGUGCCAGCAGGCGCGGUAAUACGGAGGAUCCGAGCGUUAUCCGGAUUUAUUGGGUGUAAAGGGAGCGUAGAUGGGAUGUUAAGUCAGUUGUGAAAGUUUGCGGCUCAACCGUAAAAUUGCAAUUGCUACUGGCAGCCUUGAGUACAGUUGAGGUAGGCGGAAUUCGUGGUGUAGCGGUGAAAUGCUUAGAUAUCACGAAGAACUCCGAUGGCGAAGGCAGCCUACUAGACUGCCACUGACAUUGAUGCUCGAAAGUGUGGGUAUCAAACAGGAUUAGAUACCCGAGUAGUC